rnacentral:rRNA from 1 species
UACGUAGGUCCCGAGCGUUGUCCGGAUUUAUUGGGCGUAAAGCGAGCGCAGGUGGUUUAUUAAGUCUGGUGUAAAAGGCAGUGGCUCAACCAUUGUAUGCAUUGGAAACUGGUAGACUUGAGUGCAGGAGAGGAGAGUGGAAUUCCAUGUGUAGCGGUGAAAUGCGUAGAUAUAUGGAGGAACACCGGUGGCGAAAGCGGCUCUCUGGCCUGUGACUGACACUGAGGCUCGAAAGCGUAGGGAGCAAACAGG